GCUUUAGCCGUCAUAUGACGGCAGCGGUAGUGAUAAUUUUCAAAAAAUCGUUGUGGGCGCUGUGUUGGAGCUAUGCGCAUGCUGUAGGUACCAGCACAUGCGCAUUGGGCUGCUCUUUCACAUGGUAUCUUUAAUAUCUUGCCUCGAGGUACGCUUUGUGCAGUACUGUCGAAAGAAAAGUGACCGUUUGAUAAUGGCUACAAGAUCUUUGUAGUACAACCUCAGCGAGGUUCUAGGGCAGCUAGACAGUGAGAAUAAUGAUGCUUAUGGCCUUGUUGAGUAAGAGGACAGUGACUGGGAUCAUACCAAGAGAGGAAACUACUUUUCAGAGGUCAAGCUAUAAACAUAGAGCCUGAUCUGAAGAGCCAGAGGAAGAAGCUCCUGAGCAUGAACCAAAGUCCUGGACCUUGUGAAGAAAACAUUUCCCGGGAAAAGAGCGUCUGCCGAUACGACCUCGCAGAGAAGUUUCUGCUGAUCCUAAUUGAACCAUGUCACCGUGAGAACAUUGAGAACACUUACUUAGUGUUUUUAGUUACUUCAUGCCUUCAUACAAUAUUCUUUAUGUUCAUAAUUGUAAAUAUGUGUAAAAAAUUGUUAAUUAGUGGGGGGUGGUCAGUUGCUAGGUAACGAUGAUGAUGUCAUGGUACCCCCAGGAUCUGGGCUACCUGUAGGAAAUAGUUGCAAGUGAUUUCAAUGCAUUGUUCAUGAGAUAUUUAUUUUUAAAGAAAAAUAUGUAUUUAUUCUGUAUUUUGUUUUUUUAAUUAAAGCCGGGAAAGGGUUAAAUAAUGCCAUGCCUCUUAUUUUUGAAAGAGGUUGCACUGUUUUUGUUACAAAAAGCUACCACCAGCCCCCCUGGAAUUUUUACUGAGACGGCGCUUAUGGAAUAACGUCUAACUCAGGCUCUGAUUCGGACUGACUGGUUUGACUGUCACUCCCUGUAUUUUGUCCGAACACCCAGUCGACGAUGUCUUCCCCUUCUCUGUCUGUCAAUCUGCCUGCCUCCACAUCUUCUUCCAGAGAUAUAAUCCACACCGUCCAGUCAAACAACCUGUCGAACACUUGCAUCCUUUAAGGAGUGAGUUGACUCGAUCACGGACAGCCUGUACGUUGGUGGCAGUAUCCCAUUUAAUGGACAAACCUGACGAGUGAAAUCAAUCUUCAAGGAGGCUGCAAGGGUACGUGCUGGCUCACUUCGCCAGUUGCUUGGACUACUCAUAUUCCCACUGACGCCAUGGCACAACUCACAUACUCCGUUGUCUGCAACACUGUCACUGACUUCCCCAAAAGAAAGCUGCCUUCUAGUUUUUCGCUUACUAGCUAGAC